UACGUAUGGAGCAAGCGUUAUCCGGAUUUAUUGGGUUUAAAGGGAGCGCAGGCGGGUUGUUAAGCGUGACGUGAAAUGUAGCCGCUCAACGGCUGAACUGCGUCGCGAACUGGCAGUCUUGAGUGAGUACGACGUCAGCGGAAUUCGUGGUGUAGCGGUGAAAUGCUUAGAUAUCACGAAGAACCCCGAUUGCGAAGGCAGCUGACGAGUCCUUUACUGACGCUAAAGCUCGAAGGUGCGGGUAUCGAAC
rnacentral:rRNA from 1 species